CAAGGAAUUUUCCCCAAUGGGCACAAGCCUGAGGGAGCAACGCCGCGUGCAGGACGACGGCCUUCGGGUUGUAAACUGCUUUUGGUGGGGACGAUUGUGACGGUACCCACUGAAUAAGCCCCGGCUAACUCUGUGCCAGCAGCCGCGGUAAGACAGAGGGGGCAAGCGUUGUCCGGACCGACUGGGCGUAAAGGGCGCGCAGGCGGAGCAGGGCGUCGAUGCUGAAAUCGGGCCGCUUAACGGCCCGCGGCGUGUCGAUACGCUUGCUCUGGAGCGCGGGCGAGGGUGGUGGAAUUGCCGGUGUAGUGGUGAAAUGCGUAGAGAUCGGCAGGAACACCCGUGGCGCAAGCGGCCACCUAGCCCGUAGCUGACGCUGAGGCGCGACAGCGUGGGGAGCGAACUGGAUUAGAUACCCAGGUAGUCCACGCCGUAAACGAUGCCGACUCGGUAUCCGGCUGGCAACCGCCGGCGGGUCGCCCAGCUUACGCGGUAAGUCGGCCGCCG
rnacentral:rRNA from 1 species